UUAUUAAAAAUAUGUUAAUACUAAUGAAAAAUUUCAAAAUUAUUGGUAACUUACCACAAAUUACAGUUCAUAGUUCCAAUUUUGUGUUAUUGGUUAAAAUAUAUUAAAUACUAAAUUGACCUAUUACCAAAUUUAAAGAUGAGAAUAUUUGUGUUUUCUCAUUAGUAUUUUUUAAAUUUUGAGCAAGUUAUGAGUUUAAAAUUUAAAAUUUUUUUCAAAUUGCUUAAAGAUUUAUGUAUUGUAAAAAUCCGAUGAGAGUACACAUAUAAUGUUAUUAUUGUUAAGGUUAAUAAUAAGUGAAUUCAUUCUAAUAAUAAAUCUAACAGCACAAAAUUGAAAUUGUAAAACAUACAUUUUUACGUUAUUCACGUGCAAAAUAGAAACAACAUUUGCAGUUGUGACAUUUUUUUUUUAACAAAAACAUAUAUUUAUAGGAAUAUGCUACUUACAUUGCUGUCAUUUAGUACGCUGUGGUAGAAUAUUAACUUUAUAAUAUUAGUAUAAUAAGUUAGCCUAACUUACAGUUAAUUAAUAAUAAUGAUAUGCAUAGACCUUAUACUACUAGACAGGAACUGUGUAUAACAACGGCAUUACGAACAACGUAACAACAUCCUGCAGUGAUGUAAGCCGUUUUGGACGACAGGCGUGCAUAUGUAUAUGGAAUUAAUAAGUUGUUUUAAAUAUUUUUUAUUAUUCACCCGGUUUUACGUAAUAUUUCUCCUGAUAUGGUUAGACCUUAUCCCAAAGCACAACUACUACUACCAAAAUUUUCAACAGAAAUGCUAAAAAGAAAUUAUUCAAUAUUGAAACUAUAAAUAAAAAACAAAAAACUAAAGAAUUAAAAGAACAAAAAAUUAAGAAGACUUCAGUUGAUAAAAAUAAUAAUGAAGAGGAUAAGGAUGUUUCAUGAAUAGUUUGUGCUGUAUUGUAUUCAAAAUUUCAGAAAGUAAGAGCGGAGAACCGUGGAUUCAAUGCCAAAGAUGUACAUUAUGGUCACAUGAAGCUUGUACCUCACAAAAUUGUAAAGCUUUCUAUGUAUCUGACGACUGUGAGACUGAUGAUUAAAUUAAAUUUAUGUUUUUUCUCUUAAUUAUAAUUAAU